AAAAAUUAAUAUGAAAAACCAAAGAGUAAAUUGUUAUCCUAGUAUAGCUCAGCCUGUCCACCAAUCACACAAGUUGCAGGCAGAUAGUAAGGCCUCGUCACGUUCAAUAUAAGUGCAAGUGCACCAGCUGAGAAGCGGAGAGCAACACCUAAGUCCUCAAACACACAGCUUAAUUAUCCCCCUAAAUCCUCCGGUCGAGACAACCAUGCCGAUCCGGAACAUUGCCGUGGGUAGGCCCCAGGAGGCCAUUCACCCGGACGCCUUGAAGGCGGCUUUGGCAGAGUUCAUCUCGACGCUCAUUUUUGUGUUUGCCGGCGAAGGCUCGGGCAUGGCGUUUAACAAGCUAACGAACGACAGCUCCACUACCCCAGCUGGGCUUGUGGCCGCUGCCCUUGCCCACGCUUUCGGUCUUUUUGUCGCUGUCUCAGUCUCCGCCAACAUCUCUGGUGGCCACGUCAACCCGGCUGUCACCUUUGGAGCCUUCAUCGGUGGUAACAUCACCCUCUUGCGUGGCAUCCUAUACUGGAUAGCCCAGCUCCUUGGCUCCACCGUUGCUUGCCUGCUUCUUAAGUUCUCCACCGGCGGCUUGACCACCAGUGCUUUCUCUCUGUCUUCAGGAGUGAGCGUCUGGAACGCCUUCGUCUUCGAGAUUGUGAUGACUUUUAGUUUAGUUUACACAGUCUACGCCACUGCACUCGAUCCAAAGAAGGGUAAUUUGGGAGUUAUCGCCCCCAUUGCCAUCGGAUUUAUUUUGGGUGCUAACAUUCUAGCGGGUGGUGCGUUUGAUGGAGCUUCCCUGAACCCAGCAGUUUCGUUCGGUCCCGCCUUGGUGAGUUGGUCCUGGGAGAACCACUGGGUGUACUGGGCUGGACCUCUUGUCGGUGGUGGACUAGCGGGAAUUGUGUACGACAUCUUUUUCAUCAACCAAACUCACGAGCAGCUGCCUCCGACAGGCUACUGAAACAAUAAGAAACAGCGGAUCAUUAUUUUGGGCAUUGUAUGAACGGUCGUACGCAUUUAAUCAAACUUUUUUAAUAAUUUUUAUGUUUAGUUUUUCUUCUUACGUACAUCUUUUUUAUACCAUUGUGAUAAGCAGCAAUGCUAAGAAUUUAUCCAUGAAUAAUGAUAACCAUAUUUCUCCUUAUAAUAUAA